rnacentral:rRNA from 1 species
CCCGCUGAACUUAAGCAUAUCAAUAAGCGGAGGAAAAGAAACUAACAAGGAUUCCCCUAGUAACUGCGAGUGAAGCGGGAAAAGCUCAAAUUUAAAAUCUGGCGGUCUCGCGGCCGUCCGAGUUGUAAUCUGGAGAAGCGUCUAUCCGCGUCGGACCGUGUACAAGUCUUCUGGAAGGGAGCGUCGUAGAGGGUGAGAAUCCCGUCUUUGACACGGACAACCGAUGCUCUUGUGAUGCGCUCUCGAAGAGUCGAGUUGUUUGGGAAUGCAGCUCAAAAUGGGUGGUAAAUUCCAUCUAAAGCUAAAUAUUGGCGAGAGACCGAUAGCGAACAAGUACCGUGAGGGAAAGAUGAAAAGCACUUUGGAAAGAGAGUUAAACAGUACGUGAAAUUGUUGAAAGGGAAACGUUUGAAGUCAGUCGCGUCGGCCGAGACUCAACCUUGCGCUCGCGCUCGGUGCACUUCUCGGUUGACGGGUCAGCAUCAAUUUCGACCGCCGGACAAAGGUUGGGGGAAUGUGGCAUCCUUCGGGAUGUGUUAUAGCCCUUGAUUCACAUACGGCGAUUGGGAUUGAGGAACUCGGCGCCUCGCGCGUCCAGGAUGCUGGCGUAAUGGCUUUAAACGACCCGUCUUGAAACACGG